CGCUUAACACAUGCAAGUCGAACGCCUCCAGGGCAACCUGGAGGAGUGGCGAACGGGUGCGUAACACGUGGGUAAUCUGCCUCCGAGACGGGGAUAACUCGCCGAAAGGCGAGCUAAUACCGGAUAUGCACACGGGAGCGAGAGCUUCUGUGUGGAGAGGUCGAAAGACGCUCGGGGAUGAGCCCGCGGCCCAUCAGCUAGUUGGCGAGGUAAAGGCUCACCAAGGCGACGACGGGUAGCUGGUCUGAGAGGACGGCCAGCCACACUGGAACUGAGACACGGUCCAGACUCCUACGGGAGGCAGCAGUGGGGAAUCUUGCGCAAUGGGCGAAAGCCUGACGCAGCGACGCCGCGUGUGCGAUGAAGGUCUUCGGUCGUAAAGCAC
rnacentral:rRNA from 1 species